rnacentral:rRNA from 1 species
AGUUAUGGCUCAGAUUGAACGCUGGCGGGAUGCUUUACACAUGCAAGUCGAACGGCAGCACGGACUUCGGUCUGGUGGCGAGUGGCGAACGGGUGAGUAAUGUAUCGGAACGUGCGUGGCGGGGGAUAACUACGCGAAAGCGCUAAUACCGCAUACGCCCUUCGGGGAAAGCGGGGGACCUUCGGGCCUCGCACUAUUAGAGCGGCCCGAUAUCGGAUUAGCUAGUUGGUGGGGUAACGGCUCACCGAGGCGACGAUCCGUAGCUGGUUUGAAGAGAGGACGACCAGCCACACUGGGACUGAGACACGGCCCAGACUCCUACGGGAGGCAGCAGUGGGGAAUUUUGGACAAUGGGGAAACCCUAGUCCAGCCCAUCCCGCGUGUGCGAUGAAGGCCUUCGGGUUGUAAAGCACUUUUGGCAGGAAAGAACCGGCACAGGAUAAUACCCCGUGCAACUGGCCGGGCACCUGCAGAAUAAGCACCGGCUAACUACGUGCCAGCAGCCGCGGUAAUACGUAGAGUGCAAGCGUUAAUCGGAAUUACUGGGCGUAAAGCGUGCGCAGGCGGUUCCGGAAGAAAGAUCAUGAAAUCCAGAGCUUAACUUUGGAACUGCAUUUUUUAACUACCGAGCUAGAGUGUGUCAGAGGAGGUGGAAUUCCGCGUGUAGCAGUGAAAUGCGUAGAUAUGCGGAGGAACACCGAUGGCAGAGAACAGCCUCCUGAGAUGUACUGACGCUCAUGCACAACGUGGGGAGCAAACAGGAUUGGAAAUACCCUGGUAGUCCACGCCCUAAACGAUGUCAACUAGCUGUUGGGGCCUUCGGGCCUUGGUAGCGCAGCUAACGCGUGAAGUUGACCGCCUGAAGUACGGUCGCAAGAUUAAAAGCUCAAAGGAAUUGACGGGGACCCGCACAAGCAGUGGAUGAUGUGGUUCAAUUCGAUGCAACGCGAAAAGCACACUACGCCGACUUAUCUGGAAUCCGAAAGAGAUUUGGGGAGUGCUCGCAAAGAAGAGAACGGAACACAGGUGCUGCAUGGCUGUCGUCAGCUCGCGUCGUGAGAUGUUGGGGUUAAGUCCCGCAACGAGCGCAACCUUGUCAUUAGUUGCUACGAAAGGGCACUCUAAUGAGACUGCCGGUGACAAACCGGAGGAAGGUGGGGAUGACGUCAAGUCCUCAUGGCCCUUAUGGGUAGGGCUUCACACGUCAUACAAUGGUCGGGACAGAGGGUCGCCAACCCGCGAGGGGGAGCCAAUCCCAGAAACCCGAUCGUAGUCCGGAUCGCAGUCUGCAACUCGACUGCGUGGCGUCGGAGAUCGCUAGUAAUCGCGGAUCAGCAUGUCGCGGUGAAUACGUUCCGGGUCUUGUACACCGCCCGUCACACCAUGGGGUGGGUUUUACCAGAAGUAGUUAGCCUAACCGUAAGGAGGGCGAUUACCACGGUAGGAUUCAUGACUGGGGUGAAGUCGUAAUGAAGGU